CUACGGGCGGCUCCAGUGGGGGAUAUUGCACAAUGGAGGAAACUCUGAUGCAGCGAUGCCGCGUGGAGGAAGAAGGUUUUCGGAUUGUAAACUCCUGUCUUUGGGGGCGAUAAUGACGGUACCCAAAGAGGAAGCUCCGGCUAACUACGUGCCAGCAGCCGCGGUAAUACGUAGGGAGCGAGCGUUGUCCGGAAUUACUGGGUGUAAAGGGAGUGUAGGCGGGACUGCAAGUCAGAUGUGAAAACUAUGGGCUCAACCCAUAGACUGCAUUUGAAACUGUGGUUCUUGAGUGAAGUAGAGGUUGGCGGAAUUCCUAGUGUAGCGGUGGAAUGCGUAGAUAUUAGGAGGAACAUCAGUGGCGAAGGCGGCCAACUGGGCUUUUACUGACGCUAAGGCUCGAAAGCGUGGGGAGCAAACAGGAUUAGAUACCCGCGUAGUC
rnacentral:rRNA from 1 species